rnacentral:rRNA from 1 species
UACGGAGGGUGCGAGCGUUGUUCGGAAUUACUGGGCGUAAAGCGCGUGUAGGCGGCAGCGUAAGUCGGAUGUGAAAUCCCUUGGCUUAACCAAGGAAGUGCAUCCGAUACUGCGUUGCUUGAGUGCCGGAGGGGAUGGCGGAAUUCCCGGUGUAGAGGUGAAAUUCGUAGAUAUCGGGAGGAACACCUGGGCGAAGGCGGCCAUCUGGACGGUAACUGACGCUGAGACGCGAAAGCGUGGGUAGCAAACAGG